rnacentral:lncRNA from 1 species
GCUAAACAACUAUUAUAGACAAGCAAAACAUAUCUUAUCACAUAUAAUUCUUCCUCACCUAAAAUUUUUUAAAAAACAAAAAUCAUUAUCGUACAUAUUUUUUGCAAAUGCAAACCUAAAACAGAAGACAAAAAAUCAUACAAAAUAAUAAUAACUUAGAUCAUAAGUAAAGUAUAUCCCGCCCGUAGGGCGGGCCGGCCCUAGU